rnacentral:rRNA from 1 species
GACGAACGCUGGCGGCGUGCUUAACACAUGCAAGUCGAACGGUAAGGCCCUUCGGGGUACACGAGCGGCGAACGGGUGAGUAACACGUGGGUGAUCUGCCCUGCACUUCGGGAUAAGCCUGGGAAACUGGGUCUAAUACCGGAUAGGACCACUGCCUGCAUGGGUGGUGGUGGAAAGCUUUUGCGGUGUGGGAUGGGCCCGCGGCCUAUCAGAUUGUUGGUGGGGUGAUGGCCUACCAAGGCGACGACGGGUAGCCGGCCUGAGAGGGUGACCGGCCACACUGGGACUGAGAUACGGCCCAGACUCCUACGGGAGGCAGCAGUGGGGAAUAUUGCACAAUGGGCGCAAGCCUGAUGCAGCGACGCCGCGCGAGGGAUGACGGCCUUCGGGUUGUAAACCUCUUUCAGCACCGACGAAGCGCAAGUGACGGUAGGUGCAGAAGAAGGACCGGCCAACUACGUGCCAGCAGCCGCAGUAAUAC